AUGUAUGAUAAAUCAAUAACUAUAUAACAAUAUAUUGCAAAAAAGAAUAAAAUACUUUAUAUCAGAUUUUUCAUUAAUAUGUUCAUAUGUAGUUUUUAGCUGGUAAAAGAAAUAUAUAAACGAAAAAAAAAACAAUACUAGUAGCCAGAUAUGAAAAAACAAUGUGUGCAGAGUAUAAGGAUGCCCUACUUGCACUAUCAUUUUCUAUGUUCAGUGGACCUUGAAAUUGGGGUCAUAAAUCUUAUUUGUCAUUUAAAUUAGAGAGAUUAUAUCCCAUCAGGAACAUGUGUACUAAAUUUUAAUUUGAUUGGACCUCAUCAAAAACUACCUUGACCAAAAACUUUAACCUGAAGUAGGACAGACUGACGAAAGGACAAACAAACACACAGACCAGAAAACAUAAUGCCCUUCUACUAUCGUAGAUGGCAUAAAGACUUUAAUGGGACCUUUUAUAAUAUAAGAAUGAAAUUUCUUCCUGGAGUAUAAACAUUUAUCACAGUGUGUUUCAAUACCUGCCAUUUUUCUCAUAAAAACAUAGAGCCUAUUUAACAGUUAAAACAAAGUCUUUGAAGAUCAUGCAUUAUAUGAAGAUCUCUCCUGACAAGGCAGUAAAAUAUCUUCCUUUUUUAAGAAAUCAAAGUGCUUGUGAGCACUGAUGGAAAAGGUUGCUUUCAUUUUCCAAAUAAAACAUAGAAUUCUAUUUCGCUGGGCAGGUUAAAAAUUCGAGUUCCAGUAAUAUACCAAAGUUCAUAAUAGUACAUUCACUAUCAUACUAUGAUAAGUAUUUUGUUUGUUUUAUACAGAAUUACAAUUUAUUGACAAAUGAUUUUCCUACUGGAUACAAAA
rnacentral:lncRNA from 1 species